CUCCAACACCUGUUUGUGAAAUUGAACUGCAUUCUUGGAAGAGAUUUUUAUGUGCUGCUAGCUGCUGGGUAAAUGUGGCAUUUCUAGCUCAUCUUUACAUCUUGGGGAGAAUAUCAGAAAAAAGCAGAAGAAAUGUGUAAUAAAACAUGGCAAAAGUAGUGAUCUGAUCCAACUGAAUCGGCUUCCUCUGCCCACUGAUGUCCAUCUCUGAUCUACAGUUCAAAGAGUAACUCCCAUCCUUCUUGAUACGAUGAUUGACACAGCAUGCCAGAGCCAAGCCAACCAGUGCAUACCUUUCCUCUAGCCACAGGCAUGACUCAAGAGUGAACAGUCUAUUCCAUUCAUGCCAAAGAGUUGCACGGCAGGUUACCAUCAGCUUACAAAGACAGAAGACAGGUUCUCUCUUUCUGGGAACAUUUUUGGGAGAAUCAUACAUUUAUCUCUUGGUCUACUCCAAUCACCAAGGAAGCUAUUCAUGUCCUGUGGCCUAAAAAUCUUUGUUCAAAUGAAGAACCCUAUUUCCAGAAAGAGGGCUGAGAGUAGUGGAUAA
rnacentral:lncRNA from 1 species